rnacentral:lncRNA from 1 species
GGGCUGCAGGUGCCUGCAUACUUUCUGCUCGCCCACCAUGUACAGGCAAGCUGAUGCCCUCUGAGGGUUUCUGGAACAAAGAAGACAAGAAAAUGAACCUGGCCAAGUUCACAGUGGAGACUGACCACCACAUGUGAGUUUAUUUUGCCUCACCAGUUCAGGUCACAGUUCACGGUGGCCCCAUGGUGUCCACAGUCAGGAAGCAAAGAGAGAUGGAUGCUUGUGCUCAACCCAACCUCUCCUUUUUAUCCAGCCUUGGAUCACAGCCCACUUCAUGAUGGAGCAACACUGGGUCAUCACCCAAGUGCCAGGCACAUGCAGCCACCCAGUUUUGGACUUUCAGCUUCUAGGACUGUAUCCCAUGUAAGCCUCUUUAUAAAUUAUCCAGCCUCAAGUGCUCUGUUAUAGCAACAGUAACCAACUAAGACCCCAUAACUCCAGCAACUAAUACUUAAUGAAUAAUUGCUGACUUAAUCUCUCAUCACUUGUAUUCUAUAAAGUUCUUUGUACAAUCAUUCCUUAUGGCAGAAUUAUCUUCUUCCACAUUUGUGCUCCCACCAUACUUUGGGGAAAGUGGUGUAUAGUAAGUAUUAAACUUACUCAUUUACAA